CUAUCCUCUAGACCUAAUCCAUAGCGGUAAUCCCGGGAUCUCCCUUCUUUAGAAUUCCCUCCAGCUGUUUCCUGUGUGGGAGCUCCUAUUCUCUGAAUGCUAUGUUUUUCCUCAUUCUAUUUAAGUGAAGCAUAUCCCCCAGGUUUCUUUAAGAGAGGGUGUACGAUAAUUCCAAAUUCUACGUUGGAAACAUUUUUUCUUUUCUUCAUGGAAAUACUUUUUGUUUUAGAGCAUUUGUUUUCUAGCUCUUGGUGUUUUUCUUGACAGCUUCAGUUCCUAUUUUUUUCCUCUUGAGAAAAAAAAAUCUGCAUUAAAAGACUGUGGAGUCUGCUUUUUAUCAACUGCUAAGUGUAUGAGGGAGACAGCAGAGGUGGGGUGGGAGAGGCAGCCCUGCCAGCUCUGUAGGGCUGAGGAGCACCCCAGCCGUAUUUCUCUCAGCCGUUCAUUGUGGGGAGAGCCAGCUUCAGUCCAUUUUUACUCCUUAUUCUUUGUUUGUGAACUCCUUCUCCUUGGAAACUUGUAGGAUUUCCAAACAACUUCAGAGCACUGGGGAACAGUGUUUGGAAAUUUCACAGUGCUGUGCUUUGUGUGCUUGAUAUUAAUUAGUUGGACAUUCAGGGAAGGUCUGAAGUCCUUCAGUGACAGGAAAUUUUGUUGAAUAAUUUUCUUGGUUAUUUCCUCUGGUGAACUUUCUCUUUCUGCAACUCCUAAUAUUUGAAUUUUAAAUUUUCUAGACUGUUCUUUCAAUAUUUCUCAUCUUUUGGGGGUUUUUUUUGCUCUGCAUCUGAAAGAUAUUGACAUCUUUCUUCCACUCCUGCUAUCUUGUUUUUAAUUUCCAGGAGCCCAAUUUUGUUUCCUGAAUACUUUUGGCAUUGCCAUUUCAUUGGUAAAUCUUUCAAUAUGUAUCUCUAAAAUUACUCCUUUAAUAAUAACAACACUUUUAUCACAACAGAAAAAGUUAAGUCUUUAAUAUCAAGAGUCUAGGGACUCUUUAAAUUUCCUGUGUUAAAAAAGAUUUUUUUGUUUGAAGCAGUAUUCAGGGACUGUAGCCCGCCAGGCUCCUCUGUCCACGGAGGUGCAAAGAAAGAUAACUCCCAGAGGAAGCUCCCUCCAUCCCCAGCCCAUCCUCAGGUGAAGUGGCCACGGAAUUCUCCUCCGGUGAGAAGUACCUGACACAAAUCUCCUCAAGAGAUGUCUUCUAGUGUGGACGGAGGCGCCUGGCAGAAACCAGAAGAGAUGUUAACUACUGAUGGUGUAUUGACUUUUUUUUUUAAUUGUUGGGCAGAAUUUGAAAACGAAGCGGAAUGUGUGGACAAUAAACUGUUCAAUCUUCUCUUUGA